GUAUCCUGGCUCAGGAUGAACGCUAGCGGCAGGCUUAACACAUGCAAGUCGAGGGGCAGCAUAAUGGGAUAGCAAUAUCUAUGGUGGCGACCGGCGCACGGGUGCGUAACGCGUAUGCAACCUACCUUUAACAGGGGGAUAACACUGAGAAAUUGGUACCUAAUACCCCAUAAUAUCAUAGAAGGCAUCUUUUAUGGUUGAAAAUUCCGAUGGUUAGAGAUGGGCAUGCGUUGUAUUAG
rnacentral:rRNA from 1 species